ACGGGCGAGGGGCUGGCCCGUCCUCCCCACCUCGCCAGGUGCUGUGGGCGGUGGCUGGGGCGGCGGAGAGCACGGGAGGCUUCCCGGGACGGGGCGUGAGGCGCUCCCCACCCGGCUGUGCGCUGGGGGCAGCGUGGCCACGCACCUGGGGCUGCCGCCCACAGCGUGGAGGUGGCGGCGGAGGAAGCGGGCGUGAUGGAGGGAGGGAGGAAGGGAGGGAGGGAGAGAGGGUGGUCGGUCGGUCGGAGGGCUGCCCCCGCUCGCUAUCUGUGGUAAGUCACGCCCGGAGCGGCUGCAAGGCCCUGCGGCCGGAGGAGCCGAGGAGCCCGGAGUCCACAGCGGCCCGCUCAGGGAGACACAUCUCCUUCAGCUGAGAGGGGUUGUGCGGGGCGAGGGACCCUCCCCGGCCCUCCCCUGGCUGCCCGCCCACAGCUCCCGGCGGCUUGGUGGGUCGCGGGGAGGCCGCGGCGUUUCCCACUGUGGGCGGUGGUCAGACGCCGCGAGAGUGGGCACAGGCAGGAAAGGGAGACAGGUGGGUGCCUUAUCACAUCCAUCGCUGCCUCGGGUGCGGGAGUGCCCACUUGGGCCCUUGCAGCCUGGCCGUAUUUUGCUGGUAAGGCUGAGUGCAGCAUGUCCAGGGGCAUGGCUGCUGGUGGGCUUGGCAGAUUAACUGUCGGACUCGAUGAUCUUAGAGGUCUGUUCCAGCCUAAGCAAUUCUGUGAUUUAAAUAAACCAUGCCAGAAACUGCUCCAAAUUGGUGAGUGCCUCUCACCAAUUGCCUUAGGAGAUGAUGUGCUUGCUCUGGAGGUGUUUUAUGUGAAAUACUUCUCUACAAGACUGUGGGAAUGAAGGAGGAACUAAACCCUAAGGUACAUGCGAAUUAUCAUAAAAGAAAACGGCAAAAAGAAAUUGAAAAAAAUGCUCUUUUUGAAUCAGAUGAGGCACCUCAUCUGUGGAUGGUGAAAAAGUCUAGAGGAAUGUUUAAGUUUUAGUUAAUCAUCUUGUCAACUGCAACUUGAAAACGAAGCAAUCUGAAAGCUUCCUUCUUGUGUGUAGUUUUAGCUAUUCAAGUUGACUUGAGGAAAAGGCCUGAAGUUGUGUCAGGGGAGGUUUAGUUUGGAUAUUAGGAAAAGGUUCUUCACCUGGAAGGUGUUUAAGCACUGGAACAGGCUCCCCGGGGAAGCCUGCCAAAGUUCAAGGAGUGUUUGGACAGUGUUCUCAGGCACAUGAUGUGAUUCUUGGGACUGUCGUGUGCACACCAGGAGCUGGACUUGAUGAUCCUUGUGGGUACCUUCCAAUUCAGGAUAUUCUGUGAUUUUAAGUUUUUGUCAUCCUUACUGAAUUCUGUGUACACGUAAAAAGUUCUUUCUCCUGCCCCUGCCCCACCAAGGAUUGUGUAGGUUUGGGGAAGUUGGUAGAGUGACAGGCUUUUCUGUCUUGCUUUCUGGAUGUCUUAAUUUGGUUUCCAAUGGUAAUGAUAUUCUCUGAUUAUUAGGAUUUCCAAAUAAGUGCUCGCACUGAAUGCAUCUCUAACAUUUUAUUUUUUAGUAGUAGUAGCAGAAAUAUUGAAACUGCUAAAUAUGUACAGUUCAUUAAGAAAUAAGGUUUCCUCCCCCAUGAAUUCUGGAGUUUAGGAAAACUGAUACAGAUGGGUUUCUGGUCUGUGUUUGUGCUUUCCAGGGAGUAUCAUAACAUAAAUAGAAGGGUAUAAACAUCUGAUACGUAAGAAUAUCCCCAACUCCCAUAGUAUUCCUCUGUCUUGCCAUAGUAUUCCUCUGUAUCAUGUCAGUGCUGUCGCUACAGAAAGAAGGAUAAUCAGUACAUUCAAAAUAGAGACUUGUUGAAUCUAAACAAAAUUUCAUCUCAAAAUUGUAUUUCCCUUUUAGACAGUGCUUUUUCAAAAGAUCUGAUCAAGGUUGCUUUGCCAGCCUUUCCAGCAUAGUUUUGUAAGCAACGCAGUUCUUGUUGUCUAAACUUAGUUUGCUGCCUAAGGAAUGUAAAAUAUCUAUUAAAACGCUAGAGGAAUUUACAAUACAGGUAGCACACCAGGGAAGCAAGAUGAAAGUUCAGGGAAGCAGGAUAAAAAGAUUACCUUUUUAUCAGGGCUGGUCUUUGAUAGUGUUUUGUGUAAAGUCUGUAAAAUACUAAACAUAUGGUGGAAUAUAAGUCAAAGCAAUAAACACUCUGAAGAGUAUCAGAUAAAUAUGUUACUUCCUGAGCAGCAGCAGUAGUUAAUUUUCAAACAAAUAUAAUCCAUGUAAAAAAACGUGGGGGUGUGUGCAGAUGUAUGACAGUGCCCUCUUAUGGAUGAAGUGUUUGACUCAGAGAGGCUGGAAUAAUCUGGCGCCAGGACUGAAAGGAACAGAAUUGCUGUUACAUUGAAGCGUUUAUUCAUUCUCGCUUCCAGCCACAAGCAGGGAAUGGUACACUUUGCACAUUUUUACGAGAGGAGACCUCCCUUCUUGAAGGCGUUCGGUUCUUAUAUACAGUUCAUUAGUUCCUUGUACAACUUUUACUAAAGUGCAUAAUGCGAAAGGAGAGAUUGUACGGGGCAGAAAUCCAUUAAAAACACAGACUUGAAAGAUGAGGCACUCCAGUUAUUCAAACAUCUGGAUUUCUAUGAUUAUAAUGUCUAUUAAUAUUUGUAUUUUACGCAUUUUUUAUGUAAUAAAUUGUACUUCUGAAGUUGGUUUUCAGGCAAAAACUAUAUUUUUUUUCUCCAAGGUAUGUUGUUUCUCUUCAUCUGGAAGCAUCUCUUAAUCUGGAGUAAAGGAAGAUGCAAAGGACAAUAGGCAGAACAGCAAAAGACAAAAUGUCAGUAGCAGAAAGAAUGGAUAACAUUGGUUUCUUCCUUUUUUCUGUGUUUUGUAUCAGCAUCCUUGGUGCAGUAAACCCACUGUGUUCUCUGUGCUCCUUCUCUUUUGCCUUCUCUUCCUUUUCUUCUGUGGGCCAACCAACCUACAAGCCUCCGCCAUGUCUUCAGCCCGCUGUGUCGAAACAGUCACACUUUCUAUUCCUACCUAAACCCUACAGCAACAAUUCCUGUUUCUAGCAUGUUUCCAAGUACCCUUAGCUUUUUCUCUGUCUUUAAAAUGUGAGGCAGUGUGUACUGUGCCUGGCUUUGAGCAACACCAGCUAAUUGAUAAGUUGUCAGGUUCACAAGAAGAGGUAAUUCGACAUUUGCUGCGCCUUUUUCUGAAGGGGGGACGUUCAAUAUUAGAUCAUUUCUGGAUAUGACCACUGUUUUCCAUACAACUUCUAUAAUCUUAAUAUCUUUACAAAUAUUCUGUCAAGUUUUGGCAAUGAAUUAUUGGAAAGAGGGGCUAAGAGGUGCACUUUAUAAUCAUCUACAUCUACUUCCUUGGAAAUUUAACUGAGAAGUAGUUUGAGACAUUUCAGAAUAGGGUUCCACUUUUCAGUAUGCAAAUCUUUAUAAACAUAAAGACAUUUGUAAACUAAUGCACUAAAAACCAACACUAGGUCCGAUCUCCGUUCUAAUCCUAAGAAAUGUCCCUGAAGAUUGCGGCACUAAUGGCAGAGAUAUCCUGCAGGGAUAAUGUGCCUGAAAAAGUCAUGUUAGCAGUAUGUAUAUUUAGAGUAAUAAAACAAAACUGAGUGAAUGCCAGGUAGAGAAAUGCUGGCCUGUGAGAAUAAACAUAUGAAGACAUAUUUAAUUUAUUUGUGAAUUUCAUCCUGAAAGUCUUGAGAUGACUACAAAAGACUCCAGGAACAAGGUGUUAUGUCUUAUCAGAAAGAAAACACAACAGAAGAUAGUGUCUUGUGGCAGUCAUAGCCUGAAUUGUUUUUAUUUGUAGAUUCAUAAGCAUGUUCUUUUUCUGAGCUACAUUCUUUGUACUAAACUAUUUUAUAGCUUUUUUUUUUGUUAGAAAGGAUCACGUUUCCCCAUUUGUAAUGUCCACAUUAGCCUGUGUUUCCCAUGCAGUAUAGAUCUCAAGCACAGACCAAAAAGAUUAAUCUUAUUUCCUUGUAAAAUGACCCCUGGAGAUGUGGUGGUGAUCCUCUUUCAAAGGCCAUGCAAAAUUCCCACUGACAUAGUUUAGUAAGACUUUACCACUGAUGGCCAUGCUGAUCUUGCUGGCUUUACACUGGCAAGUACAGCACAUCGUGAAGAAUGGCCAACUUUCUUCAGUCUCUGGUGGAAACGAGCAGAUGUUCUUCAGUGACUUUGUUCCUUUUUCAUUAAAGAAUUGAUGGGGUUUUUUUUGUUGUUAUAUUGGUUUUGGUUUUUUUGAGGGGGUUGAGGGGACUGGGGUUUGGUUUUGCUUUGGUAUUUUGUUUUGGUUGUUUUUUUCUUCAGUUAGUGCCAGUUUUAAAUUACCUAGCUCAGUUACUGUUGGUGAUAUUCUAGCAGCAUGGAGCUCAGCAUGGUUGAUAUUGAUCCAGUCGGUUUGCUGGCAAAACUGAGUUUUGAGCUGUCCCUACUGCACUUUCUGGGUUGUGAACUUGUUUUGACGAGAUCAAUGACAAAUGUACUUUUAAGACUUCUGCAUCCUAACAGAAGGGUCUCUGCUGUUCUGAUAUUUGUGAGGAGGCAGGAGAAAUGGGUUGUGCCUUCAGUACAUUUUGGCUUCAAGUUUUAGAUUUUUGUUCUGUAUUCUAGACAUGCAGCUUUCUUGAGGAGAGUAUCAUUUGUGUAUUAAUGUUGUGAACUGCCUCUCUCUGAUAACAUGAAACUGGGAUUGUAACUUCAUACAUAUUGAUGCUUUUACAAUAACUUAAUUUGUGUCACAGGGAGGGAAUAUGCAAUAGAAAAAGUGUCAUUCAAGAAUAACAUGUUACAACUUCUUAGAGUUUGGGUGAGCUCUUUGUUACAAGACAUUCCUACCAGGCUAGUUACAGGAAAACACUGGGCUUAUGGGUGCUUAUGAUCCCCAUAGCCUACCUGCAGCAUUCAGUGCUGUACCCUGUAGAAAUGCAGUAAGGUGUUGGGGUAUGUAGGUGGUCAAGAACUUGAUUUAAAUGAUCAUUACUCUGAUGGGAACAUAGUGCCUGCAUCUCAUUAACCAGCAAGCUUGAAAUUGCCCUUACUAAAAACAAGGUUAAAGAAAAAGCAAAGAAGAAUGCUUGUUUAAAGAAAUCAAACUACAUGCCACAUAUUUUAGAAGAGGAACAGGAAUAUAAAAAUUCAUUCUUAAUAAGCUUAUUCUGAAAUCAAACGAUCUUUUUCCUUUCUUGCCUGCAGCUGAUAAGCCACAAACCUAAUCUAUGAGGCUGCAGUCCCAGUGCUCCUUUGCCUCUCUAGAAUUAGUGCUGUCUCCACAGGGGAGAUUCCUUGGGGGACAGAGCAUGGCAGAUUAUCUGUUCAAUCCUUUUCUAGGUAUCUCCCAAUCCCAUUUAAAUCUGAUUUCCCAAAGAUUCAGAAGUUAUUCGGGAUGUAGUUUUAGAAUUAUUGACUGCCCAAGACUUUUUGGAAUACUUACAUGCUGUUUUAAUAGUUAGCUAUUUUGUUAGUAAAUUGUAAGAUAUUAAAAAGUUAUUAAUAUUUCCCCCACUUGCAAAGGUUACAUUCAAGUUAUGGGUAAAGCUCUUUCAUAUGAACAGUAAGCCAAUAAUCAUACAAAUAUUUAAGUAAAAUUAUGGUGUCACUGACUCUGGACUGAGAUCAGGCAGGACUGUAAUUAACCACUUCUAAUGAUAGUGAGCUGGAAUGACCAAUGUCCAGUUUUAUCUUUGAGGAACAUUGUGACAAGUGUUUGGAGCUUUGAACACCCAAACAGAUGAGAUGAAUUGCAGGGCCCAAACAAUUUUUUUUUCUUUUUAAAUGAACAAAAACAUCAUAAAGGGUAUUCAACAUUCAUCAAAGUUUAAUCUUCAUUAUCACACCUCAUUACCAAAGUAUCUGAAAGAAGCUGAACGUCUGGAGACUGGUUACUUGGCACAUACACUAUUUGAACAAAAAACGUUACAAUUUUAGAUAGGAGGAGGUGGAAUUGCUGAGGAGAGUCAGAGACACUUUUGCACGGGGACUGUGGAGAGUGUUGUGGGUGUUGGGAGAAGUCUAUAUCCAUCAUGUCAGACCUACAAUUCCUAGAUUCUGUCUUUUGUUAUAUUUUGUAUUUCUAGAAAAGCACUACAGCUUCACUCUCUAAAAUACUGCGAGAAGACAAAGCUAGUCAGCAAAUUUCCUGAACAGGGAAGAAUUCACAGCGCUGUACUAUUUUAUCUAGAGGGGCCCUUCAGUCAACCUACCUAGAGCAAAUAUCCUUAGCCAAAGCCUUGGGGUCCUCCAAAAAGUAACAGGGUGGAACCUCAGACGUAUUCAUAUUUUCAUACCAAAUAAAUCUUUAGAGCGUAUUAAACAUCCACUUCAGUCUUUCUAAAUGAGAGAUUUUCACGUCCACUCAGAGCAUAGGCUCUGCAACAGGUUUUUUAAAGGAUAUUAUUUCUUCUUUGGGUAACUGCAUGACAACAUAAUGAAAACUCAGAAAUUUCUGCAAGUUUUAACAAAACUGUAUUCAAGGUGUCUUAUUCUAAGAGCACUAACUGGAAGCACAUUUACAGAGGAGCAACUCUUAAAACCCACUUAGCUUUUGUGGUCAUUAAAGCUAACACGUUACAAAUAUAUGGUAACAGCAAUAAUAUGUCUACAGCGUGGUUUGUGUGUGUUUUAUGGUGAAUCCUGCAGUUCCUCCUACUGUCCAGAUCAGGAAAUCUGUUGAAAAGUUCCAUACUCCCUUCACCUGCAUCAUCUCUGCAGUGAGAGUUGGUUUGGAUUUUGUCCCAGAGCAAAGUCUGAAUGUAGCUAUGCUACACUCUCAGACUUAGGAGCAGGGACUGCUCCAGGAUAAAUAUGUGACAUCUUUCCAUAUGAAAUUCAUGUGUUUUUAGAGCAAAAUCUACAAGAAGGAUUUGCUAACUUGUUUAAAUCCAAAACUAAGCUAUUUUAGAAUUUCGAGUGCUGCAAUAGCUUGUUUGCCAGAAAAAAAAAAUGGUCGUUAGUUCUUAAAAGCAUGCUCAGCUAGCUUUUUUUUUUUUUUUCCCCAGAGAGAUUUAUUUCCUUAAAAUAGCAUUUUGCUCCUAAAAGUGCCUUCUGGGCAGGCAAGUAGAAUUAUCAGCAUGUUUACUUUUCAGACAUCUCUGCCACACUUGAACAGUUCUGCUGUGGUGUCAUACAUGAGUGAUGAGGUAGAUUUUGUAAGAGUUUGUAUACUAGGAUAUAAAAAAUUAAAAUGUGUUACAGCAUUUAAAGUGCACUAACAUUUUAGUUCCAAACUAGUCAAAUCAACGUCCUUACACCAAAUUAAAGCAUUUUCUAUGACUGUAGCAUCCCUUUUUGGAAUGUAUCCUCAGCUCCAAGGAAAGUUGCAUCCCCAUUAGCACAAAUUAGACCCCUUGGCUGUCUGAAAGGUACAGAAGAUCCUCUACAGCUUUGGUUCUCUGCAGUUUCUAGUACACUUACAGAAGGAUGUCAGCAGAGGUUUGGAUGUGAUCAGUGUACCAUCCAUGUACUGUGCUUUUGUAUGUGAUACCUUAGAAGCAAAAAGCAAGGAUUUAUGAUGUAGCUUGAUUAUAAAGGAAAGUUUUUUAAUUACAUUGGGAUGAAAGUAAGGGAAUAAAGGGACAAGUUGCCCAGUGAUUUUUUGCAGAAUCACUAUCAUUCUGCUACCACAGUUCUUUACAAACAGAGGAAUGUAGAAAAGAAGACCCCAAAACUUUCCUUGUUCAAAAUAAGAUUAAGGAAGUGAGAUAAAUGUAUGAAGUGUUCAUGGCUCUACUUUGGAUUUCUUUUAUAAAGCUUGUGACUUGGCUUCUAAGUCGAUAAGGACAUUGAGACACAAAAUGAAUUCUCUGAGGCUGCUAGCGCAACAAGGCUAUAUAAUCACUCUGGGAUUGCCAAAGAUUUCUUUCUUUUUUUUUUUUUUUUUGAAAGACUUGUGUCACUUUCACUCCCACACAUCUGGCAAGAGAACUCUGCACUGGCUUAGCUGAAAAUUCUUAUCUCAUAGAUCACUACUAGCAAUAAAUUCCAGCCUUUGUGCUUACUUAUAUUGUCCCACGGCCUGGAGUCACUGAUUUUGUGGAACUAGGAAUGCGGGCUGUAAAAUAUUUACUCACUAACACCCACACACACCAACACAGCCCCCCACGCCCCCCCCCAAACACCCCAUGCCUCAAAACCAUGCCUCUAGCUUCCUUCGUUGUGAAGUCAGCUUUGAAAAUGUAAAUCACAUCAAACUGACUCUGGGGGCCAAAGAAAACAGGCAGCUGGAUUCCAUCCCUUUAGCUAAGAAUCAGCCCUUAAAUACCUCUUAAACAGACACUUUAUAUGAGCUAUAGUCAAACUCAUUUUCAAGUAAUGUUUUCCCACAUGUCCCAGAAAAAGUGAACAGCAUCUCUGUGCGUGGAUGGACUGGGGCACUGACAAUGGGUAAGUGUGCCAAAACCCUGCAAACUGCUAAUGCAGUUCUACUGCAAUUCUUCUCUAAGGUCACACCUACGCUAAAAAUCAAUGUAUUUUUAAUCCAUGCCGUAGUCCUUAAAUAUAGCUAAGGCAGCUGUGCUCUGAAAGAAUUGUUGGCAAAUGGCCUGCACUAGGUGUUUUCCUGGGUGUUAGUUCGCAUCAGUGAGCAUUUUUAUCUAGUAUUGUCUUCUGGAAGCAUUCUUAUUUAUGAGAUUUAUUGUGCUGAUCCUUUUCUAUGUGACAGAGAUGGGAAAUAUGAAGGCAGCAUUACCUCAUACAUUGAAGACUUUGCAACUUGUAGUAAAAAAAACUGGAAAGAUAAGAGAAGGUUAGACAAAUGAGACAAUGACUGGCACAGAUGCAGUUAUCUCUGCGGGAUAGAUUAAAUAAUAUGCUGGGGAGGAAGAAGAACAACAAUUCCCCAUACUAAACCCCAGAUUUCCAGUUUAGCAACCUGUCUCUAAUACCAUUAACAAGCAGGAUCAGAGUUAGUGAUGACCAGCAAGUGUUGCUGGGUAGCAAAUGCAUUCUCUAGGUGUGGGGAAAAAUGGUAUGGAGACACUUGAGAUGCAAUGUACUUUAGUAUCUCUCCAUUCUUGAUGAUCAGAUUUCAGAAGAAAAAUCGGCAACUGGCAUAUAAUAAAGCCAGAUUAUUUUCCAAGAGUCACAACAAUCCUUCUUGAGUAAUUUACCCCAGCAAAAACAUGGCAGAAUAACCAAUCAGGGUAUAAUGAACAUGAAAUGCCUUCCCAUUUAUUUUCCUAGGACAAAUUAACAAUGUUUUGACUCUAGUAGAUUUGCAUAACGUGAAACGUAGUAGUUUUAACCAAUAUACCGGCAUAAUCCAGGAACAAGCUGUAACUUAAUUUUUGGCAUUUUUAUUUUCAAUUUCCCAAGUGACUACUAGUGAGUGCAUGGGAGUGUUUUUUAAUUGAUCCUGAUACACAUUCACAUACAAGGCCAUCAAGAAUGAGACAUCUUUAUCAAGAAUUGCCACAGAAUCACAGAAUCAAUGAGGUUGGAAAAGAGAUCACAGGGUCCAACCUUUCACUGAACACCAUGUCAACUAGACCAUGGCAGUAAGUGCCACAUCCAGUCUUUCUUUGAAUACCUCCAUUCAGAGAAAGAAACAGAGCCUAGAGUAGUAAAACAGCUACAGUAGUUUAUAAAAAGCAGUUUUAAUCAGGGCUCUUGUUGGCAGAGCUCCACAAUAGACAGAGUUCAUCAUUAAUGACACCUCAGGUUUUCUGUCUUUUCUGUAUGCUCAUCAUAUCAAUCACUUGAAAAAGGCUACAUAGCUUAAUUUUGCAAAACUUCUCUAAUAAAAUGGUUCUAGUAGCAAUAAAACAAAUAGCAAUGAGAACAUUUGGCUGCUGAUGGAGAAGACAAUAGAAGAAAAAUAUGGCAUUCCUGAAGUAUUUCUUGAGAUUCAAAAUUUUAUUGAGAUAGAAACACAGAUUUUUAGCCUAAAAUUUGAAUUUGAGGAAGUUUUAAUCUAUAUUGAGGAUACAGCCAAAAUGCAUACUUCAUCCCUUCCCUCUAGAGAAGAGAUUACUGUCAGGACUGUGUGCAGGAUACAGCAAAAAUUAGGGUAUGUCAAGGACCUGAUCAUGGUUCCCUUAUCCUCAGAGCAUGUCUCCAUCAGUUUGAGCCACAGUGCUAUUUAAAACUGAACUGUACUUUUUCCUGGCUGACUACAGUCCUUAAGGGAACAUCCAUCAGCCAAGCAGAAGUGACUCAUGCAACGCCCCAACCUCACACUUGAUACAGUCAACCUCAGGGACAACUUGUUAAAGAACUGUCAGAGCCAUCCUGAAACUAAGCAAACACUACCUCACUUGAGUUUUCCCACUGUGCAACCUGCCUGUGGCUUUAGCUUGUGUUCUGCAGCUAAUGUGAAAAAACUCUCCGAGUCUUUGGCUCUGCGAGUUUCUAAGCUGCAUUGUUAAAAAGAGUGUUAAUGGAAUUGGCUAAAUCCCAUCUUGGAUUAAAAAUGUCUUGGAAAUAAAAUCUGGAAGAGUGCACCAGAUCAGAGGUGCUCAAGGCAAGCAAUUUAGGAAGAGCAGCUGAACUCCUAUAUAUGUAUGUCUCACAAAUAACUGCAAAUUAAUAUGUCUUUGUGGAAGCAGCUCAAUUAAGGCUUUAGUUGCUGAAGAAGUGUUUUUAAAACUCUUCCACAAGCCAACCAUUCUAAGUGCUACAGUUUGAAUUGAUGAACUCAUCAGCUCAGCUGGAAAACAUAUCAACUCGGACAUGCAUCUGAAGCGUGAAUUGCAUUAACACACAAAUUUAAUUUAAAGGAAGAAGCUCUUUAUGGAUUUUAAAACUAGUACUUAAAGUCUACAAAUUGCUCCAGUUAAACUGCUAUGAUAAAAAUGGCCAAAAAAAAAUGUUCUAGGGAUGGUAACCAUUGAUUUCUAUUUUAUGCUAUAUUAGAGUCUACAUGGCUCAUGAAUAAACAAAUGGUAAAAUAAGAUUUGAGAAAGCACAGUUGCAAAGGAAAAUGUUUAAAAGGACUGAAAAAUCAGUCUGUAUUUCAGUAUUUGUCUUUGGUUUAUCACAACUAAUAAAAUUAAGUAGAGCCUAGCUUUAUUUGAACCUUGAUGAGGCGCUUUUAGUAGAGAGACAAAUCAGUAAUUUAGUCAGGGCCAUGCUUCUACCCCAGCCUCUGGCUGAGGGGAAGAUUAUACAGAGCCCAACCUUACAAAACAUCUCAACUGUGCUGAAAGUGUUGUAUUGUUUUAUUUAAAUUUGCAUGUAGUCAUUUGGGGAAACUGGGCAUACCAUGCCAUAAAGCUCUUAGGGAGCAUCCAAAGGAGGGCAACAAAGAUGGUGAAGGGCCUUGAGGGGAAGCCUUAUGAGGAGUGGCUGAGGUCACUUGGUCUGUUCAGCCUGGAGAAGAGGAGACUGAGGGGAGACCUCAGUGCAGCCUUCAGUAUCCUCAUGAAGGGCCAGACACUGAUCUCUUUGUGGUGACCAGUGACAGGACCCGAGGGAAUUUUGUAAACAGACAAAAAUCUGCAUUUAUGAGUGUUUUCAGAUCAUGGUCUUGUACAAGGAAAUACCCAUAAAUCACAGGGACUUAAGAAUUUCCAUUCUGAUUCAGCCUCGCCCGUUGCUCCCUUCGGGACCCCCUACACAGCCCCGGGCGGCCCCACACCCUUCUGGCCGCCGUGGAAGCUGCACGGGGGUCGCACCCGCGGCGCCGCCCGCUGCCACCUGGCGGCUGCACCGGGGCCAGGACAACCUGCAGCCGGGGCUGCCAACAGAUCUGGGCAAAGUUGUGAAGCUGUAGAACAAAGACGUGAGUAGAGAAUGUGUGUUUGAAUAAACAUACAGCAUUCAUGCACAGAAGCACUAAAAGUUGAAAUAAGAACUAUUGAUAAAUCACAGAGAGCCUCAUAAGGAAGUACGCUGGAACUUGGUUUCCAUCAGCCACUCACUUACCAGACCACAGAAACGUCUGAGCUCUGCUUUGGUUCAUGUUGCUCAACCAGGUAAUACAUUUUUCUGAAGUACUCUCUAGCAGUAACUUCAAAUAUGCACUUGGAGUUCAGCAAACUGAAGAGCAAAAGCCUCUUCAGGCUCUGUUCUUCAAAAAAGAUUUUAGGCACCAGUGCUCAGGGUAGAGUUCUGUACCUGUUCAGGUCAAACCAGCUCACUGCUGGGGGCCUUACUCCUUUCUGCUGAAGGUUUUUUGUUUGUUUGUUUUAAAGAUUUCUCAACUGAAUUUACAGUUGGCUUCAAAGGUCAAAAAGAAAGUCUGAGGACAGAGACAUAAAUGUGACAUAGUUCACAGAAUAUGUUUUGUGCCAAAAAUACCAUUCUAUUUCUCAAUUUGCUACUAGAAUUACAACAAAAAAUUUUUCACAGUGCAUGUAAUAUGCCUACAACUGAAAUGUUCAACUAAUUUCAAUAAAUUACAUACAGACCAAUAAAUCAUCUUGAAGCCAUGUUGUUCUUUAUGUCACUAUAGCAUACAUUAAAUAUGAAUUUAAAAUUUAAGAUGAAAGUAUUUCUUUAGCAAACUUAUUUACUGUGUGAAUUUUAAAUUAGCUUUUGAGGGAUUCCAAGGAUAUUCAGUAUUGGUUGUCAAGUUUGAAAACUAUUCUUAAAAAGCUGCGCACAAUCUACAUGUAUUUUUCAAAUCAUUAAUUGGUAAAAAGCUCUAUGUCUGUAAAGCUUGAAGUCUACAGAUUAUGUUCACUUUUCUUACCAGGAGCAAGCCAGCACACUGCAUAAGAAAUAAAGAAUGUCAAUAAUAAUAUUUCAAUUAAAAGACGUAAACAUUCCCCCAACCCUUAACUUCAGUAAAACUGUAUCACCUUGAAAGAAUUCAAACCCAUAGGAUAUACUAGUUGGUAUAUUUUCUUCUUUCCACACAGUUAUUCUAUAUUCUUUUACAUUUAAAAGGCUUUUGGUCCUCCCUUCCUCCAAAAGGGGGAAAGGUAUGAUUUGAAAAUCAAACCUGAAAAAGGAAAUAAUGCAGACUCAUUCUUUAUUAAAAUCUUUAUGGUGUAUUUGCUGAAUGUCAUGGAUGAUGUAGCUCAUUAGGAUCAUUUCUCUGAAUAGAUUUUGCAGCAGUGAAAAGUGGAGCAGAAGAGAAGCCUGGUGAAAAGUUACUGGGGGAAGUUAAAAAAAAAGAAACAAAGAAGGAAAGGGAAUGAGAAGAGAAGCAGCAUAGGACAGAACCAGCACCAUUUCCAACAAUGAUAACACUUUCUCAUCAGAUGAAGCAAGAGCUGUUUAUCAAGUAAAUAAGGAUAUUAAAAAUGUAUUAAAAGGCAAUUAAUUAUUAUUAUGAAUUUUAUUCUGACCACAGAUUCCCAGGAUACCACUGAACUAGAGUAAGUUUGGUCUACCUUUAGGAAUUGUAUCUGUUUAAAAAAAUUAACGCUUUUCAGUCGGCAAAACUUUAAUAAUGACACAGUAAAACAACUAUACAAAAAUCAUGUACAUAUUUUGACAGUUUAAAUAAUAAAUAUAUAUAUAUAUUUAUAUAUAUAUACUUGAUUUUACUUUGUGGAAAAACAACUUUUGAUAGUUUUAGAUUGUGACUGGCUGUAGCUGAAAAACACCCAAACCCCUAUUUUUCUCCCAUAGGGCACUUGGAAGUUUGACAGUUCAUUGGAUUUGUAACAAGAGACUUACUGUAAUGGUAAACCAGUAAAGUUGUUUUAGAGGCAAUGACUGGAAAACAACAGAAUACCUAAUGUCUGCCUGUAUAGUACUGCUUUGACAUGAGGAACAAGGAAAUGUGGGUCAGAAAAACGCUGGUUUUGCUUUUGGCAUGGUGGAAACCAAGCUACAAUACAGCAGCCAAAAGAUUUGAAGUAUUACACAGCACUUGGGCCUGCAAUAUUUCAUUUUCCCCCAUAGCUGCUGGAGCCAUGAAUGUAACAGUAAGACUUUAGAAACAAACUGGAAAACCUCCACUCCUUUCAAUUCAACAUUAUCAUCAAUUAGAUUACAAAAUUCAAGACAGCUAAAUAACUUGGAUUUUUGGGAAGGGGACAGGAAGGGGAAGAGGAAGAAAAAUAUUGGAAAAAAGAGUUUUCUAGCCCAAAUGGAUUUUACAGUCUCAAAAAACCCCCAGGCAUUUCUCUGAAGACUUACAUACCAGUCUGCCUUGAUUCAGAAACACCAUUAAGAUAUAUCAGAUAUGACAGAAGCCUUCAGCUUCAAAAUACAAUAAAAGUGAAAUACUUGAACUAGACCACUAGAUUAA